ACGAACGCUGGCGGCGCGCUGUACACAUGCAAGUCGAGCGAGAACCAGGGCUUCGGCCCUGGGGACAGCGGCGAACGGGUGAGUAACACGUGGGUAAUCAACCCUCGACACUGGGAUAGCCCGGGGAAACCCGGAUUAAUACCGGAUGUCCCGCCUGGCUUUCGGGCCGGUCGGAAAAGGUAGCUUCGGCCUCCGGUCGGGGACGAGCCCGCGGCGGAUUAGCUUGUUGGUGGGGUAACGGCCCACCAAGGCAACGAUCCGUAGCNGGUCUGAGAGGACGAUCAGCCACACUGGGACUGAGACACGGCCCAGACUCCUACGGGAGGCAGCAGUGGGGAAUCUUGGGCAAUGGGCGAAAGCCUGACCCAGCGACGCCGCGUGAGGGAAGAAGGCCUU
rnacentral:rRNA from 1 species